AGAGUUUGAUCCUGGCUCAGGAUGAACGCUGGCGGCGUGCUUAACACAUGCAAGUCGAGCGAAGCACUUUUGCGGAUUUCUUCGGAUUGAAGCAAUUGUGACUGAGCGGCGGACGGGUGAGUAACGCGUGGGUAACCUGCCUCAUACAGGGGGAUAACAGUUGGAAACGGCUGCUAAUACCGCAUAAGCGCACAGUACCGCAUGGUACCGUGUGAAAAACUCCGGUGGUAUGAGAUGGACCCGCGUCUGAUUAGCUAGUUGGUGGGGUAACGGCCUACCAAGGCGACGAUCAGUAGCCGACCUGAGAGGGUGACCGGCCACAUUGGGACUGAGACACGGCCCAAACUCCUACGGGAGGCAGCAGUGGGGAAUAUUGCACAAUGGGGGAAACCCUGAUGCAGCGACGCCGCGUGAGCGAUGAAGUAUUUCGGUAUGUAAAGCUUCUAUCAGCAGGGAAGAAAAUGACGGUACCUGACUAAGAAGCCCCGGCUAACUACGUGCCAGCAGCCGCGGUAAUACGUAGGGGGCAAGCGUUAUCCGGAUUUACUGGGUGUAAAGGGAGCGUAGACGGCACAGCAAGUCAGAUGUGAAAGCCGGGGGCUCAACCCCUGGACUGCAUUGGAAACUGUCAAUCUAGAGUGUCGGAGAGGUAAGCGGAAUUCCUAGUGUAGCGGUGAAAUGCGUAGAUAUUAGGAGGAACACCAGUGGCGAAGGCGGCUUUCUGUACGAUAACUGACGUUGAGGCUCGAAAGCGUGGGGAGCAAACAGGAUUAGAUACCCUGGUAGUCCACGCCGUAAACG
rnacentral:rRNA from 1 species